rnacentral:rRNA from 1 species
ACACAUGCAAGUCGAACGGUAACAGGCCUUCGGGCGCUGACGAGUGGCGGACGGGUGAGUAAUGCGUGGGAAUCUGCCUUAUGGCUGGGGACAACCAGUGGAAACGCUGGCUAAUACCGAAUACCGUCUACGGACGAAAGCGGGGGAUCUUCGGACCUCGCACCAUAAGAUGAGCCCACGUCUGAUUAGCUAGUUGGUGAGGUAAUUGCUCACCAAGGCGACGAUCAGUAGCCGGCCUGAGAGGGUGGACNGCCACACUGGGACNNAGACACGGCCCAGACUCCUACGGGAGGCAGCAGUGGGGAAUAUUGGACAAUGGGCGCAAGCCUGAUCCAGCAAUGCCGCGCGUGUGAAGAAGGCCUUCGGGUUGUAAAGCACUUUUGUUAGGGAGGAAAGUCUGGUAGCUAAUAACUGCUAGAUCUGACGUUACCUAAAGAAUCAGCACCGGCUAACU